rnacentral:rRNA from 1 species
AGGAAUUGGCGGGGGAGCACCACAACGCGUGGAGCCUGCGGUUUAAUUGGAUUCAACGCCGGACAUCUCACCAGAGGCGACAGCUGUAUGAUAGCCAGGUUGAUGACUUUGCUUGACUAGCUGAGAGGAGGUGCAUGGCCGCCGUCAGCUUGUACCCUGAGGCGUCCUGUUAAGUCAGGCAACGAGCGAGACCCACGCCCUUAGUUACCAGCUUAUCCUUUUUUUGGAUGAUGGGCACACUAAGGGGACCGCCUAUGAUAAAUAGGAGGAAGGAGUGGACGACGGUAGGUCCGUAUGCCCCGAAUCCUCUGGGCAACACGCGGGCUACAAUGGCUGAGACAAUGGGUUCCGACACCGAAAGGUGGAGGUAAUCCUCUAAACUUAGUCUUAGUUCGGAUUGAGGACUGUAACUCGUUCUCAUGAAGCUGGAAUGCGUAGUAAUCGCGUAUCACUAUUGCGCGGUGAAUACGUCCCUGCUCCUUGCACACACCGC